GUGGAGCACAGCCAUCCUUUACUCCAGCUCCAGGGGAUCUGACACCCUCUUCUGACCUCCAGACCUCCAUGGUUACCAGGAAUGUAUAUGGUACAUAUACAUACAUACAUACAUGCAGGCAAAAUGUUCAAUCAAUCUAAAAACAUGUUAUGUGUGUAUAGUAUUUGUAGGAGGUGCACGGGUGCUAAGGCGGUUCACACGUGGACAUCAGUGCACACCUCUGUGCAGCACACCCUUUUCUAGGGCUGCAGGCUUGUAUGGCAAACACUUCUACACAAGGGGCCAUCUCACUGGCGCCUCUAAUACUGAUAUUUGAUUUCUAUGCUGGAAGGUGGGAAACUAAAUGAUUCCUUUUUAUUGGUUGAGAAGCCAGCAAGAAGUUAAGUCUUGGGGUACUACGGUAUUGGAAUUUAUGCUUCUUUUUCUUUUAUUUACUUAUAGACAGGAUCUCAUGUCUGGCCUCAAACUUACUCUGACCUUCCUGCCUCUACCUCCCAAACGAUAUGAUUACAGGAAUAUGCCAACAUGACUUUUUUUAGUGAAACAACAGAACAUCUCAGAUCAAGGACUUGUUUAUAUGUGUGUAUAUGUAAACACACCCACCCCUAAUCUAUGCACAGACACAUAAACACACACACACACAUACACACACACACACACACACACACACACACACACAUAAACACAAAGUCUCAUGAUGUGCCAUCUAAAUGCUCCCUCUCCAGGACUGGAACAUUCAUUCUUUCAGCUGCCAGGAAUUCUGACAGCCACCAGAUUUUAUCUAGGUCCUUCUACAGGACUCUCCAGGAAGAAAGCUGAUUGCCCUAGGCCACGUCCUCUUCCUGGAUGCAGAUAUAUCCGGUAACUGACAGAUGACGCCUGUGAAAGGGUCACUGGAUCUCCAAGGCAGUUUUGCCCACAGACUGAGAACCACUGCUUUACAGCAUUUCUCAGCAGCCCUUACUGCCUAGAUAGGCUUGGGGAGGAAGUUUCAAGAACUUUCUGAAGCCUUUGAGUUGUUUAUUUCCUGAACUUAACUAACUUCCCUUCAGAAUGGAAUGUUUUACCUCUCCAUAGAACACCCUGUGUCUUAAACUUCCUUCUAAGGUGGAUGCUCCAGGAAAUUGCUACACAAUGCUGGGUUAUAAGGUAAGAUUCAAGCUACCCCAUUUGACUAACUACAUAGUAAAAAAAAAAAAAAAAACCCUGUUCCCAAACAAACCCAGCCAUGGGCGGGCCUGGUGGCACGCACUUUUAACCUUAGCAUUCGAGUGGCAGAGGCAGGUGGAUCUCUGUGAAUUUGAGGCCAGCUUGGUAUACACCAGGGAUAAAAGGCAGAAGCCAUGUGGCCCUGGGGUGUUGCAAGCCUGGUUUGUGUUCCAGCACACCCAUUUUGCAAAAAAUAAUUGACAUGCAGGGAGAGGUUCACUUUGUUUAUCCGUGUUCCUUAGUAUGGCACUGAGAUUAAGUCUAACAUCUCAAAAUAAAUCCUGUGCAAAAAUGUGUGCCACAGCACAGAUGGCACACAUGCCAGGCAGUGUGAUCUGUAUGUACAGCAUUCACAUGUGAAGUCAGUUCUCGUGUGAUCUGUAUGUACAGCAUUCAAAUGUGAAGUCAGUUCUCACUCUUGCGUUUUGAAAGCGCGGAAACCAGAGGCUGGGGAAGUAGCUCAGUGGGUAAAGUGACUGCUAUACGAGGACCUCAAUUUGGAUCCCGGUGCCCAUAUAAAAGUCAGGUGCGAUGCCUGUAAGCCUAGCACUGAAGCAAAGAACGGUGGACAAAUCUCGGAGGGCUUUCUGGCUGGACAGCCUCACCAAAAUGGUUUUGUGAGAGACAGUGCCUCAGAUCGCACAAGGUGGAAAGCAAUCGAGGAAGACGUCUGCUGUCAACCUCUUACCUGCACUCGUACAUGCAGUGAUUUCAUAUAUGCCAGAUUGUGCCUCAAAGUUGCCAUGUAGCUGAAUAUAACCUUGCCCUUUUGCUCCCCCUAUGUCUGUCUCCUGAAUGAGUGAUAGGUAUGUGACACUACACUCAGUUUUAUGUAGUGCUGGGACACGGACCUAAGGCUGUGUACAUGCUACACAAGCCUCCUACUGACUGAGCUCCAUGCCAUACCCAUGGUUAAAUUUCUUGAUGAAUUUUAUGGUUUAUUGUCUACAUAAAAAAGCGAAACGUGUUUGCUAGGCGUGGUGUUUUGUGCCUAUAAUCCCAGCAAUGAGAGACUGAAGUAGUCAGAUUGCCAGUGGUUCAAGGCUAGCCUGGACUGGAUAGUGAGUUCCAGGCUAGACAGAGCUACAGAGUAAGACUUAGUCUCAAAAACUAAAGUGUGUGUGAGGUGGCAGGGGAGAGGGAUAAAGAGCAAAGCGUUUUUAACUUUAUCUUCUUAUCAGGAAGCAGUAAGAUGACAGUUGGCAUAACCAUUUCCUCUGAUGCCAAAGCCUUGGUCAGAAUGUUUGUAGAAUGUAGACAAUCCGAGUAUGACCAUUUGGCUGAUUUAUUGAACACCAUCUCCAUCCUCUGUUUCCAUUACUACCAAGUUCCACACAGUGGGAUCAAUAUUGGAAUCGUGAAGCUCAUCAAGCUCCUGAACUUCUUCUUGAAGCUGUCCACCAUAAUUAAGACAGUCCAGAUCCCUGUGAGUAAGGACCGAAGAUCGUCUUCAUGAUUUUCAUCUUAAUUACAUUUUAUCUGUUUAUCUUGUAUGUUUGUGAAAGAUUUUGUACCAUCCUCACCCAUAUUCUUGUAAGUACCCCAGUAAAACUCAUUGGUUCAUCAAGUAGGACUUUGAAGGUAUCCUUGCUUAGGUUGGAAGUUCCUUAUUUCAGAUGAAUAGGCAAGCAUUCACUUCCCUAGAACAACAAUCUCCCAUCUUGCCUUCGGAAACAUUGGGAUUGAGACAGGAUUUCUCCGUGUAGCCUUGAACUCACUUUGUAGACCAGCCUGGCCUCAAAUUCAGAGAUCCAUCUGC
rnacentral:sRNA from 1 species